AUUGAACGCUGGCGGCAGGCCUAACACAUGCAAGUCGAGCGAGCGGCGGACGGGUGAGUAGUGUAUGGGGAUCUGCCUGAUGGCGGGGGAUAACUACUGGAAACGGUAGCUAAUACCGCAUACCAUCAGAUGAACCCAUAUGGGAUUCGCUUGUAGGUGGGGUAACGGCGCACCUAGGCGACGAACCCUAGCUGGUCUGAGAGGAUGAUCAGCCACACUGGGACUGAGACACGGUCCAGACGCCUACGGGAGGCAGCAGGGGGGAAUAUUGCACAAUGGGCGCAAGCCUGAUGCAGCCAGGCCGCGUGUAUGAAGAAGGCCUUCGGGUUGUAAAGUACUUUCAGUGGGGAGGCGUUACCGGCAGAAGAAGCACCGGCUAACUCCGUGCCAGCAGCCGCGGUAAUUC
rnacentral:rRNA from 1 species